CCCGGAAGAGCUCGAAACUGACCCAGAAGAAAAACCUGCAGUGCCCAGUCCCUCUCUGAUAGGUCCGUGUGGAACCAGUUCCCUCGUGUUUAUUGGGCUGGAGUGUUUUCAAUUAUAUCAGCUCUCAGCUGGCUGUCAUGGCUAAAGGCGAAGACCACGAAUUUCAAGAGAAAUGAAGGGGCACUGUGCCACAGCGAGAUUGCAGAGGCCAGAGGAUAACUUCAGGAAUCGGUCUCUCUCCUUCUACCACAUAUGUCCUGAAGAUGGAACCGAGGUCAUCUGGUCAUCUGCGGAACUCGCCUUCACUGGCUCAGAAAGGGUGUAGCCCAAGUUGGUCACAAACUCUCAGCGUAGCCAAAGCUGGCCUUGAAUUUAUGAUUUUAGUGCUCCCAUCUCUUGAGCAUCGAGAUUUCAGAUGUGCGCCACUGUGUCUGGCUCGUGUAUGAGUGAGCUUAUGCUGGCUAAAAUCUUUCUGAAGAAUACUAAUUUCAGAGUUAGCUGGAUGGCUGAGAAUAAGAUUCUCAGCAGGACAACGAUAUUUAGUUGCAACACUUACAUGCUUUUAAAACCAGAUUCUGAAACAAACAAAAAUAAUUUCCCUGUUCCCUUAUGUACAGUACCAGUGUGGCUUACUCAGUGUUUGAGGACACUUGAGAUCGUUGGAAAGACUUGUGUUGGUCCCACUACCUUGGUGAAGAAAAAACAAAAAAACACAGCAAAACCACUCAUUGUAGCUGGGUGUGAUUGUACCCAGCUUUAAUCCCCCUCCUCUGAGGAAGCAACACAGGUGGAUCUGUGCUAGGUGAAGACCAGCACGACAUCUCAUAGGGAUAUCUCAGAGUUCUAGGCCAGCUAGGGAUACAUUUUGAAAUCCUAUCCCAAAACAAAACAAAAACCUAUCAUAAUUAAUAUUGUUAACUUGGCAGGAUCUGGAGACACCAUGGAAAUAAACCUCCAGGCUGUCUGUGAGGAAUUACCAAGAUUAGAUUAACUAAAGUGAGAAGAUCCACUAUAAAUGUGUGUGGCCCCAUCCCCCAGACUAGAGUUCUGGACCGAAGGAAAAGGAGAAAAUGGGCUGAGCCUCAGUGUUUAACUCUCUUCGCUUCCCCAGGGUCAAUGCCAUGUGAGCAGCUGUCCGCUUCAGCCUCCCCACCAUGAUGGGCUGUGAACCCUCAGACUGUGAGCCAACUUAACCCUUUCCUUCCUUAAGUUGCUUUCUUUUUCUUUUCUUUUCUUUUUUAAGAUUUAUUUAUUAUUAUGUCUACGUACACUGUAGCUGUCCUCAGACACACCAGAAGAGGGCAUCGGAUCUCAUUAAGGAUGGUUGUGAGCCACCAUGUGAUUGCUGCGAUUUGAACUCAGGACCUUCUGAAGAGCAGUCAGUGCUCUUAACCGCUCAGCCAUCUCUCCAGCCUCCUUAAGUUGCUUUUGUUGUACAUUUUGUUACAGCAAGGAGACAAGUAACUAAAACACCCAUACAUCAGCCAAUGAUGAGAAAUUAUUUUAUUGGGUGAUUUUUAAAGGCCUUGUCUGCCAGAUGGGGGCUUACAGAAGUCAUCAGGACCUAUCCACCACCACCAAAGAAGGAAGAGCCACAAACCAUUGCAUUCCCUCAAGCAAGGAGCACGUUGCAGAAGAGCUUCAGGGGGACUUGGUAAAUUAGUUCGGGGUAGGGUGGGGAGCAUCCCAGUCCCAGGGCUUUUGAAUCCUUCUGGCAGAAUGCCCCUUCCUCUCUUUCUUCUGAAGACUUGGGCUUUAAGAAUGCACCAUUUCCUGGAAUUCUAGAAUAGAAGAUGAGAGGACAGACUCAGUGCAGGUGGCUCAGGGUUUUGCAGGUGUGCCAUCUCCCUAAGAAUUCUGAAGAGGGAAGAAAAAAAAUGAAAUAAAUUCCCAGAGAAACAUG